CCUACGGGAGGCAGCAGUGAGGAAUAUUGGUCAAUGGGCGGAAGCCUGAACCAGCCAAGUCGCGUGAGGGAAUAAGGCCCUACGGGUCGUAAACCUCUUUUGCCGGGGAGCAAGGUCGUGGACGUGUCCCGGCCCGGAGAGUACCCGGAGAAAACGCAUCGGCUAACACCGUGCCAGCAGCCGCGGUAAUACGGAGGGUGCGCGCUUUAUCCGGAUUUAGUGGGUUUAAAGGGUGCGUAGGCGGGCUUUUAAGUCAGCGGGAAAUAUUCGGGGCUCAACCCCGUCCGGCCGUUGAAACUGGGGGCCGUGAGUGGGGGAGAAGAAGGCGGAAUGCGUGGUGUAGCGGUGAAAUGCAUAGAUAUCACGCAGAACCCCGAUUGCGAAGGCAGCCUUCCGGCGCCCUACUGACGCUGAGGCACGAAAGUGCGGGGAUCGAACAGGAUUAGAUACCCCAGUAGUC
rnacentral:rRNA from 1 species